rnacentral:rRNA from 1 species
UACGUAGGGACCGAGCGUUGUCCGGAAUCAUUGGGCGUAAAGGGCGCGUAGGCGGCCCGCACAAGUCUGCGGUGAAAACCCCCGGCUUAACCGGGGGCCGGCCGUGGAAACUGUCGGGCUGGAGGCUGGGAGAGGGCAGCGGAAUUCCCGGUGUAGCGGUGAAAUGCGUAGAGAUCGGGAGGAACACCAGCGGCGAAGGCGGCUGCCGUGGACCAGUCCUGACGCUGAGGCGCGAAAGCUAGGGGAGCAAACAGGAUUGAGAAACC